rnacentral:rRNA from 1 species
GUAGGGUGCAAGCGUUAAUCGGAAUUACUGGGCGUAAAGCGUGCGCAGGCGGUUGUGUAAGUCAGAUGUGAAAUCCCCGGGCUCAACCUGGGAAUUGCAUUUGAGACUGCACGGCUAGAGUGUGUCAGAGGGGGGUAGAAUUCCACGUGUAGCAGUGAAAUGCGUAGAUAUGUGGAGGAAUACCGAUGGCGAAGGCAGCCCCCUGGGAUAACACUGACGCUCAUGCACGAAAGCGUGGGGAGCAAACAGGAUUAGAUACCCUGGUAGUCCACGCCCUAAACGAUGUCUACUAGUUGUCGGGUCUUAAUUGACUUGGUAACGCAGCUAACGCGUGAAGUAGACCGCCUGGGGAGUACGGUCGCAAGAUUA